AUUGAACGCUGGCGGCAGGCCUAACACAUGCAAGUCGAACGAGUGGCGGACGGGUGAGUCAUGUCUGGGCAACUGGCUAAUGGAGAGGGAUAACUACUGGAAACGGUAGCUAAUACCGCAUACCCUCAGAUGUGCCCCGAUGGGACUAGAUAGGUGGUGGGGUAAAGGCGCACAAGGGCGACGAUCCGUAGCUGGUCUGAGAGGAUGACCGGCCACACUGGAACUGAGACACGGUCCAGACGCCUACGGGAGGCAGCAGUGGGGAAUAUUGCACAAUGGGCGCAAGCCUGAUGCAGCCAUGCCGCGUGUAUGAAGAAGGCCUUCGGGUGGUAAAGUACUUUCAGCGGGGAGGCGUUACCCGCAGUGGAAGCACCGGCUAACUCCGUGCCAGCAGCCGCGGUAAUAC
rnacentral:rRNA from 1 species